rnacentral:rRNA from 1 species
AUUGAACGCUGGCGGCAGGCUUAACACAUGCAAGUCGAGCGGGGAAGGGUAGCUUGCUACCUAACCUAGCGGCGGACGGGUGAGUAAUGCUUAGGAAUCUGCCUAUUAGUGGGGGACAACAUCUCGAAAGGGAUGUUAAUACCGCAUACGUCCUACGGGAGAAAGCAGGGGACCUUCGGGCCGUGCGCGAAUAGAUGAGCCUAAGUCGGAUUAGCUAGUUGGGGGGGUAAAGGCCUACCAAGGCGACGAUCUGUAGCGGGUCUGAGAGGAGGAUCCGCCACACUGGGACUGAGACCCGGCCCAGACUCCGACUGGAGGCUGCAGUUGGGAAUAGUGGACAAUGGGGGGAACCCUGAUCCAGCCAUGCCGCGUGUGUGAAGAAUGCCUUUUGGUUGUAAAGCACUUUAAGCGAGGAGGAGGCUACUGGUAUUAAUACUACCGGAUAGUGGACGUUACUCGCAGAAUAAGCACCGGCUAACUUCGUGCCAGCAGCCGCAGUAACAC